rnacentral:rRNA from 1 species
UGGGGAAUAUUGGGCAAUGGGCGAAAGCCUGACCCAGCAAUGCCGCGUGGGUGAAGAAGGUCUUCGGAUUGUAAAGCCCUUUCGACGGGGACGAUGAUGACGGUACCCGUAGAAGAAGCCCCGGCUAACUUCGUGCCAGCAGCCGCGGUAAUACGAAGGGGGCUAGCGUUGCUCGGAAUUACUGGGCGUAAAGGGCGCGUAGGCGGUUUGGUCAGUCAGGCGUGAAAUUCCCGGGCUCAACCUGGGGGCUGCGCUUGAUACGGCCAGACUAGAGGACGGAAGAGGCUCGCGGAAUUCCCAGUGUAGAGGUGAAAUUCGUAGAUAUUGGGAAGAACACCGGUGGCGAAGGCGGCGAGCUGGUCCGUUACUGACGCUGAGGCGCGACAGCGUGGGGAGCAAA